rnacentral:rRNA from 1 species
UACGUAGGUGGCAAGCGUUGUCCGGAUUUACUGGGCGUAAAGAGCGCGCAGGCGGUCGUUCAAGUCGCGUGUGAAAGCCCCCGGCUCAACUGGGGAGGGUCACGCGAUACUGAUCGACUGGAAGGCAGGAGAGGGUAGUGGAAUUCCCGGUGUAGUGAUGAAAUGCGUAGAUAUCGGGAGGAACACCAGUGGCGAAGGCGACUACCUGGCCUGUUCUUGACGCUGAGGCGCGAAAGCUAGGGGAGCAAACGGGG